rnacentral:rRNA from 1 species
UACGAAGGGUGCAAGCGUUACUCGGAAUUACUGGGCGUAAAGCGUGCGUAGGUGGUUCGUUAAGUCUGUCGUGAAAGCCCCGGGCUCAACCUGGGAAUGGCGAUGGAUACUGGCGGGCUAGAGUGCGGUAGAGGAGAGGUGGAAUUCCCGGUGUAGCAGUGAAAUGCGUAGAGAUCCGGAAGAACACCGGUGGCGAAGGCGGCUCACUGGCCCGGUACUGACGCUGAGACGCGAAAGCGUGGGGAGCGAACAGG